rnacentral:tRNA from 1 species
GGGGUUGUAGCUCAGUGGUAGAGCACUUGCCUUGCACGUGUGCAGCUCUGGAUUCAAUCCUCAACACCA